rnacentral:rRNA from 1 species
CACGCAUGACACACUGCAUAUCAAUAAGCGGAGGAAAAGAAACUAACAAGGAUUCCCCUAGUAACGGCGAGUGAAGCGGGAAGAGCUCAAAUUUGAAAUCUUAAAGGGUUUCCCUUUACGAAUUGUAGUUUAAAGAAGUGUUUUCUGUUGGAGUUUCGGUAAAAGUUCUUUGGAAUAGGACAUCAUAGAGGGUGAGAAUCCCGUAUUUGACCGUUACUUUCCAGCUGUGUGAUACACUUUCAAAGAGUCGGAUUGUUUGGGAAUGCAGUCCAAAAUGGGUGGUAAAUUUCAUCUAAAGCUAAAUAUCGGCGAGAGACCGAUAGCGAACAAGUACCGUGAGGGAAAGAUGAAAAGAACUUUGAAAAGAGAGUUAAACAGUACGUGAAAUUGUCAAAAGGGAAGCGUUUGACACCAGUGUUGUUUAGUUGAAAAUCAAUUCAAUAAUUUUUGAUUUUGAGUAGUAUUGACUUCAUCAGCUUGCUGCUUUCUUUUCCGAAAUUAUUGAAUGCACUUUUCAGUUAACAAGUCAACAUCAAUUUCUUUUGUUGUAAAAGGGUAAGAGGAAGGUGGCUUACGCUUCGGCGUAAGUGUUUAUAGCCUUUUACCUCUGCAAUCGGAGAGAUUGAGGACAGCAGCGUAGACUCCUUCGUGGUUAGAUACACUUGUGCUAAGCUAUAGCCUUGUAUAGACAACUUGUUGACUAUGCUCAGUCAUGUAGCUUACUCGCUUGUGCUAUUUUACCUACGCUUAGGAUGUUGAGCGCAUGUCUCUCUCU